CGGCGGGCCCGGGGCCGGGCGGGGCUGCGGGAGCCGGGCUGAGAAGGGCUCCGAGACUGCAGCACGGACGAAAACGGCGUGAAAAUCCCUUCCUGACUCGGCACUGGGGUUUUCGUAAACAUCUCUGUAAUGCACUGUAUAAAUUCUGAAGGCAACUUACCGACAUUCGAGUGUGGGGCCAUGAACCUGUCCCGCCGCUGGAAGCGAUCUCGAGGAUUGUUUCCAAACGCACCUCGGCCUCUGCCAGGCGGGAGGGCUCCGCGGCGGAGCCUGCCCCGCGCUGCCACCUUCACUGCCACCUUCACUGCCACCUUCACUGACACCUUCACUGUCACAUUCACUGACACCUUCACUGCCACCUUCACUGACACCUUCACUGUCACCUUCACUGACACCUUCACUGCCACCUUCACUGACACCUUCACUGUCACCUUCACUGUCACAUUCACUGUCACCUUCACUGUCACCUUCACUGACACCUUCACUGCCACCUUCACUGCCACCUUCACUGACACCUUCACUGCCACCUUCACUGUCACCUUCACUGCCACCUUCACUGACACCUUCACUGUCACCUUCACUGUCACAUUCACUGCCACCUUCACUGACACCUUCACUGUCACCUUCACUGACACCUUCACUGCCACCUUCACUGCCACCUUCACUGUCACCUUCACUGUCACAUUCACUGCCACCUUCACUGACACCUUCAUUGACACCUUCACUGACACCCUUUGCUGCCACCUUCACUGUCACUCUUGCUGCCACCCUUGCUGUCACCUUCGCUGCCACCCUGGUUGCUACCUUUGCUGCCACUUUUGCUGGCACCCGAGCUGCCACUGUCCUGCAAAAAGCCUGAAUCCUCAGGACAUGAUGGGUUCAGACACUCAGUAGAUGAGGCUACAGCUGAAGAAGAGAUUGAUAUUAGGAAUUCAUGUUCAGCUAUUGAAUUUAAUGAAGGAAAGAGAAGUAAUCAGAAAUAUUUGCUGAGGAAAGGGACGCUGUGGUGAGAA
rnacentral:lncRNA from 1 species